GUACUGCUGAAGGGUCUCAAACUAGCGGGACGAAACAGCUGUCCAGUAC
rnacentral:hammerhead_ribozyme from 1 species